GAGCACGUAGGUGGGUUUGUAAGUCAGACGUGAAAGCCUUCUGUUCAACGGAAGAAUUGCAUCUGAAACUACAAACCUUGAGUGUAGGAGGGGAGAAUGGAACUUCUGGUGGAGCGGUGAAAUGCGUAGAUAUCAGAAGGAACGCCGGCGGCGAAAGCGAUUCUCUGGCCUAUUACUGACACUCAGUGUGCGAAAGCUAGGGGAGCAAACGGGAUUAGAUACCCCGGUAGUCCUAGCCGUAAACGAUGGGCACUAAGUAGGGGGAAUUACCGAUGUUCUCUCUGCCGUAGCUAACGCAUUAAGUGCCCCGCCUGGGGAGUACGGCCGCAAGGCUAAAACUCAAAAGAAUUGACGGGGGCUCGCACAAGCGGUGGAGCAUGUGGCUUAAUUCGAUGCAACGCGAAAAACCUUACCGGGGCUUGACAUGGUAGAAGUAGGAACCCGAAAGGGUAACGAACGGUAUCCAGUCCGUGACUAUCACAGGUGUUGCAUGGCUGUCGUCAGCUCGUGUCGUGAGACGUUGGGUUAAGUCCCCUAACGAGCGAAACCCUUGUUUUUAGUUGCCAGCGGGUUGUGCCGGGCACUCUAGAAAGACUGCCGUCGUCAAGACGGAGGAAGGUGGGGAUGACGUCAAGUCAUCAUGGCCCUUAUGCCCCGGGCUGCACACGUGCUACAAUGGCCGGUACAAACGGAAGCGAAGCCGAGAGGUGAAGCGAAUCC
rnacentral:rRNA from 1 species